CUUGUACUUCCUCCGUCCGAAAAUACUUGUCAUUGAAAUGGAUGUAUCUAGAUGUAUUUUAGUUCUAGACACAUCCAUUUUGAUGAAAAGUAAUUCCGGACAGAGGGAGUACUUG
rnacentral:pre_miRNA from 1 species